GUCUUGGGCCUUCAAAGGCUUGUCCUUGCCGUACUAGUGGCCGACGAUAUAUAUUUAAGGGAAUUAUAAAGCUAAUGCCAGCGUUGCUGUCGACAAAAAAAAAAAAAAAAAAACGUACCAUGAAAUUUCGCUCUCGUGCUCAAUAUAUGGAAAUACAAUUUACGGCUUAGGAUAACUUGCCAUGAAACAAGAAGGAAACAAGAAUUCUAGACCUACAAACCACCACUGAAAGGAAAAACAAAAUCAUGAAAUUUGACUUCCGACAAUUUAAGGAUCCGUACCCUUAAAUUUCACUCUUUUAUUCGUCCAAUGACGGGAAUGACCUCUAGGACGUAUCAUUAAGUUCUAUUUUCUAGUUUCAUACGGUGACCAUAAAAUGAAUACAGUCCCUUGUGGUUAGAGAACUAUGAAAGGACUCGAAUUGUGAUUUUAUUUCACAACCAUAAAAAGGAGAAACAAAAUUUGAACAUUUGACAUAAUUGAUGAAUCAAAGAAUCGAUUACC
rnacentral:lncRNA from 1 species